CGUUGGUCGUUGCUUGACCAAUGACCUUGAACAUUCUUGAUCAGUAAUCUCACUGAUAACGUGUAAGGAUCGUGUUUCGUUUGUUUUUUUCACCGUGUUGGCUAUAGUUGGAUUUGGAUAUAAAUUUAGAGUGUUGUGUUGUUUUCGAAGAACAUGUGUGUUGUUUUACUGGUGUUUCUAAUUCUAAUUAAUGUGUCGGUAGUGAAGUUGUAUUCGGGUCCUUUGAUAUCAUUAUCAUUGAAUACUGCGAACACACAGUUCUGCGACAUCAACAAGCUAUCAUUCUGCUAAUCAUUCAUAACAAAUGCAGAAACAGAAAUUCAAACAGAAUCGUGAUGCAAAGCGUUGUAGACAUCAGAAAGAAGUCAUCGAUUGGAAUUGGCUGAUGAAUUAAAUAGAAUCAGAUCAGAGAUUUCCAAACAAGUGAUCAUGGAAAUUUCGAUCACCCGUCAUUAGAUACUGUUGGUUGGAAAGAAGACAAGACAAUAAAUUGGUCACUCUAGAUCGAAGAAUGAAGAUGAAGAAUCUCGUCCGAUUGUUGAAUAGAUCCAUGUAGAUAUUUUUACCUAUUACCGAAGGUUCUAAAUCAACGAAAGCUGAUCUUGGCACAUAUCGUCCGGAUUCACAUUCUUCAAAAAUCGUAUGAUAAUUAUCGUCGCUAUCAAUUGGACAGGCGAGACGUGUAUCAGCUAAAUUUCCAUCAGAGCACUUGUAAUUUGGACUACACUUGAUGAAACGAAACAAUAAUGGCGCCAAUUUAAAGCAAUUUCUCAAGAGUUAUGAAUUCAAGAUGUUGUACUGUUCCAGUGUGAUCCUACAGCAGUGAAAAAUUACUUAAGGGUGACAGGCAAACGACGACACGUGGACUAAAUCCAGCGCACGUGACCUGAUACAAACGCUUUUUCCUCUUGUUCUGUCGACCAUGACUUCAUUCUUCGUUUUUCGACCAAAGAAGGAAUGAGAAGAUUUCAUCUCAGCUUUCAUGAUGAAGAAUGUGAUAUAAGACGAUGAAUGUUUCCAUUGAGUUUGCUGUAAUCUUGGAAUGUAACUAACUUUCCAGAGAAUUGGAGAAGAGAGAGGUAUCUAACAAUUUCCACUCAUUUGUGAUUUUCUAUACAUCUAAAUGUUGAAAUCUUAUGUCUCAAGACUACUCAAACUUGAAGCAAAUCUGUAUGCAAGAAAUAAGAAAGGAUCCAAAUGAAACCCUUUGAAGAUUCGGAUACACCAAUUGAAAUUUGAUAAGAUUAGAAAUUGAACUUUUAAGGUGAGAACUCAAAUUUUUAUGAGACUGAAAUUUAGAAAAAUUACGAUGUGGAUCCGUUAUUAUUGUAGGUCUAUUUUUAACGAUUCAAUUUUCUGAAUGGGAUCUCGCCAUACCUAAGUGCAUUUUCCGAUUUUUUGGUAUAUUUUUGGAAAUCAAAUAGACCAAAAAUGGAGAAAAAAAAUCAAAAUUUUACCAAAUUGUCUUGGAACUCCGAAAUUAAAUUGGUAUGAUUGUAGGUCUCCCACCCGAUUUUCGAUACUUCGAAUCGAGCCGUUUUGAGCAGUUCUGGAGCCUCCAGUAGAUUUUUGAAAGUUGAAAUUUCUAUAAAGAUUCAUCCAAUAAAAUUAAAAAAUUGAAAUUCGGUUUAUAUCCUGAUUUCAACGUUCUAAGUCAGUUGGUGGUGGUUUCAAGUCGUUCUGAAGACUUCAGCUGUAAUUUGAAAAUUUCUGAUUUUCAAAAAGUGCCAUAAAAACUACACAGAUCAACUUGGAGCUCGUAUAGAUGUGUUUGCUGCUUGUUACUGACUCGCUUGAGCGAUUACAUACCAAAUUUUCAAAAUCAGUUUCUACUUGUUUAGAACUGUGUAGGUAUUUUCAAAUUUUCAAUUUAGUAGUUGUGAAAUUGCUGGAGAAAUACUCGAUUUUGGACUGACAAACCGAUUUAGGAAAAAUUGGUGUGUAAUCGGCCAUGUGGGUCAGUAACAAGCAUCAAUCGCAUUUAAACGUGCUCCAGGUUGAUUUGAACCGUUCAAUGGCACUUUUUGAAAAUCAGAAAUUGACAAAAUGUAGCAUGGGCGCUCCAGUACGACUUGAAACUAUACCUUCAAUCGACUCAGCAUGUUGAAAUUAGGUUAUAAAUAAAAUUUUGGCUUUCCAACUCCAUUGCAUACAAUUUUGUAAUUUUUUGCAAAUUUGCUGAAGGCUCCAGAUAACUG